rnacentral:rRNA from 1 species
GAUGAACGCUAGCGGGAGGCUUAACACAUGCAAGUCGAGGGGCAGCAUAGGGUAGCAAUACUCUGAUGGCGACCGGCAAACGGGUGAGUAACGCGUAUGCAACCUACCCUGUACAGGGGGAUAACCCGGAGAAAUUCGGACUAAUAUCCCGUAAUAAUAUCCGGAGGCAUCUUUGGAUAUUUAAAGUUCCGACGGUACGGGAUGGGGCAUGCGUAACAUUAGCUGGUUGGUAAGGUAACGGCUUACCAAGGCUAUGAUGUUUAGGGGUCCUGAGAGGGUGGUCCCCCACACUGGUACUGAGACACGGACCAGACUCCUACGGGAGGCAGCAGUGAGGAAUAUUGGUCAAUGGGCGCAAGCCUGAACCAGCCAUCCCGCGUGCAGGAAGACGGCCCUAUGGGUUGUAAACUGCUUUUCCAGGGAGAGAAACUUACGCACGUGUUGCGUGACUGACGGUACCCUGGGAAUAAGCAUCGGCUAACUCCGUG